AUCAUGCCGCGUGAGUGAAGAAGGCCUUCGGGUUGUAAAGCUCUUUUGUCAGGGAAGAAACACCGGCUCUAACACAGUCCGGGAAUGACGGUACCUGAAGAAUAAGCACCGGCUAACUACGUGCCAGCAGCCGCGGUAAUACGUAGGGUGCGAGCGUUAAUCGGAAUUACUGGGCGUAAAGCGUGCGCAGGCGGUUAUACAAGACAGGCGUGAAAUCCCCGGGCUUAACCUGGGAAUGGCGCCUGUGACUGUAUAGCUAGAGUGUGUCAGAGGGGGGUAGAAUUCCACGUGUAGCAGUGAAAUGCGUAGAUAUGUGGAGGAAUACCAAUGGCGAAGGCAGCCCCCUGGGAUAACACUGACGCUCAUGCACGAAAGCGUGGGGAGCAAACAGGAUUAGAUACCCUGGUAGUCCACGCCCUAAACGAUGCUGACUAGUUGUUCGGGAUUUACAUCCUGAGUAACGUAGCAACGCGUGAAGUCAGCCGCCUGGGGAGUACGGUCGCAAGAUUAAAACUCAAAGGAAUUGACGGGGACCCGCACAAGCGGUGGAUGAUGUGGAUUAAUUCGAUGCAACGCGAAAAACUUACCUACCCUUGACAUGUCACUAACGAAGUAGAGAUACAUUGGUGCUCGUUAGAGAAAGUGACACCGGUGCUGCAUG
rnacentral:rRNA from 1 species